AUGAUGUGUGCAUGGUGUGCAUGGUGUGUGUGCAUGGUGUGCAAUGCCGCGUGGUGUGCAAUGGCGUGCACUGCUGCACGCACGGUGCAUGGAGUGCACAGUGUGCACGUUGAGUUGCACAUUGCAUGUGUGCAACACUGCAUGGUGUGCAAUGCUGUGCAGUGCUGUGCAGUGCUGCAUGCAACGCUGCAUGGUGUGCAAUGCUGCACGGCGUGUGCGUGGUGUGUGAGCAUGGCUUGCAAUGGUGUGCAUUGUGUGUGCAAUACUGCCUGCGUGGUGCACAGCAUGCAUUGCACCCUGCAGUUUGCACAUUGCUCCUUGCACCCUGCAAGUUGCACGGCAUGCAUUGCUCCUUGCACCUGCACUGUGCACAUCAUGCAUUGCUCCCUGCAUGUUGCACAGCAUGCAUUGCACCCUGAAUUGUGUACAGCAAGACUGCAGCCUGCUGUUUGCGUUGUGCACAGCACGCAUUGCGCCCUGCAGUUUGCACAUUGCUCCUCGUACCCUGCAUGUUGCACAGCCUGCAGUUUGCAUUGUGCACAGCACGCAUUACAGCCUUGCAUUGUGCAGUGUGCAUUGCACCUGCGUUGUGCACACUGCUCCUUGCACCCUGCAUGUUGCACAGCCUGCAGUUUGCAUUGUGCACAGCAUGCAUUGCACCCUGCCUGUUGCACAGCACGCAUGGCAGCCUUGCAUUGUGCAGUGUGCAUUGCAUCUGUACGGUGCACAUUGCUCCUUGCACCCUGCAUGCUGCACAGCAUGCACUGCAGCCUGCAGUUUGCAUUGUGCACAGCAUGCAUUGCACCCUACGCACUGCACAGCAUGCAUUGUAUUCUGCAUUGUGCACACUCCUCUUUGCACCCUGCAUCUUGCACAGCCUGCACUGCACCCUGCCCGUUGCACAGCAUGCACAGCAGCCUUGCAUUGUGCAGUGUGCAUUGCACCUGCAUUGUGCACACUGCUCCUUGCACCCUGCAUUGUGUGCAGCAUGCAUUGCAGCCCUGCAUUUUGCAUGGUGCCCCUUGCACCCUGCAUGGUGCACAGCAUGCACGGCAGCCUUGCAUUGUGCACAGCAUGCAUUGCACCCUGCACAUGGCACAGAAUGCAUUGCAGCCCUGCACUUUGCACACUGUUCCUUGCACCCUGCAUGUUGCACGGCCUGCAGGUUGCAUGGUGCACAGCCUGCAGUUUGCAUUGCGCACAGCAUGCAUUGCACCCUGCCCGCUGCACAGCAUGCACUGCAGCCAUGCAUUUUGCACAUUGCUCCUUGCACCCUGCAUGCAUUGUGCCUUGCAUUGCGCACAGCAUGCAUUGCAGCUCUGCACUUCACACAUUGCUCCUUGCACCCUGCCUGUUGCACAGCAUGCACCGCAGCCUGCAGUUUGCAUGGUGCACAGCCUGCAGGUUGCAUGGUGCACAGCCUGCAGUUGUUUGAUUGUGCACAGCAUGCAGCUUGCAUUGUGCACAGUCUGCAGCUUGCAGGUUGCAUGGUGCACAACCUGCAGGUUGCAUCGUGCACAGCAUGCAUUGCUCCGUGCACGUUGCACAGCCUGCAGUUUGCACAUUGCACAGCCUGCCUUGCUGCUUGCACGUUGCACAGCCUGCAGCUUGCACAGCACACAGCCUGCAGCUUGCAUGGUGCACAGCAUGCAUUGCUCCUUGCACGUUGCACAGCCUGCAGUUCGCAUUGUGCACAGCAUGCAUUGCUCCUUGCACGUUGCACAGCCUGCAUUUUGCACGUUGCACAGCCUGCAGUUUGCACGGUGCACAGCCCGCAGGUUGCAUUGUGCACAGCAUGCAUUGCUCCUUGCACGGUGCACAGCCUGCAGUUUGCACGUUGCACAGCCCGCAGGUUGCAUUGUGCACAGCCUGCCUUGCCCCUUGCACGUUGCACACCUCCCAUCUCCCAUCGUUGCACGUCGCCCCGCCCCCCC
rnacentral:lncRNA from 1 species